rnacentral:lncRNA from 1 species
CAGGUGUGUCCGCACCCCCUGGAGUGGACGAGAAAGAAAGGAUUUUUUCUCGGAGCAACCCCCAGACCCAGGAGUUCACUUUCCCGUAUGAGCAUUCGGUACAUAUAUAAGUCAGUGGAAGAGUCAAAGGGUCACCACUACUGAGGGUCUCCCCCUUAUCUUAGAAGGGUCGUCUGAGGGUUCGCCGCGGUUCAUUGCUGUGCUUACACACUAGGCUACCCUUCUCCGAAAGCUCCGCGGGACCACCUAUCACUAGUCUUCGGCCGGAGGGGUUUAUUGCACAAAAAGGCCGGGACGCAGAGGAAAGCCCAACGAAUGUCAGAUGCAAAGCCCCGCACCUCAUUAAGAUCAUAUUGGCAUACUCUCCCAAAAAAAAAGAGCAGACCCCAUUGAAGACGGGAGUGAGGUACAACAAAUUUCCGUCCACCUUCUCACGGAGCCGUACGUGGACGUUACCGCUCAUACAGCUCCCAGCCAGCAAGCAGUUAGCUUUCCUCUAGAAGCCAUGGGGUUUUGGCUCUGAUCCCGGCCGGGAACAGGCUAAACGAACAAGGGGUUGAUUUGGUGAUAAGGGAUCAUGGGAAUUGGAGGGGAUUGAGGAAAAAAUUAACUAUUUGCCUUUAAUCCCCUCCGAUCCCUCUGUGAUGCCUGAUCACCAAAUAAGCCCUUACAAUUUUCACUGGAUCUUCAAAACAAAACACACUAGAAACGGGAUUAGAAAGAGAGAGGUGGGGAGGGCGCACGACGGCGCCACCAUGUCUGUCGAACUCGUCGUGUCGGCAGCAUCCCCUUGGCUCCUUGAUAGAAACGUCUGGGCACCAUCGAGACACUCACCAACGGCGGUGCAGCUCACAAAGAACGUGCACGCCGAUAAUGAGCUUCACGGCGGUGGCACCAUGGCCGCCGGUUUCAUGUUGUUCCUUAGAGAUGGCAAUGGGUAAAUACGCACCGGGUAUUACUACCCCAUACCCAUACCCACGACACAAAAAUAACCCCCAUCGGGUCAACCAUAUACACUGGUGGGUAUGGAUACCCCAUACCCAUACCCAUGUGGGUAUGGGUUACCCAUCGGGUCACCCGUACCCACAAAAAUUAAAAAUCUAUCAAAAUAUUAUAUUAUACAAAUGUCAAGUAUAUCCAUCUAAAUACCAUUACAAAAUUUCUAGCAUCAUUUAACCAUCCAUUCAACACACCAAAGAUAAUUGGAUAAAGUAGUAACACUAGGAUAGUACUACAUAGCACAUUAUAUGUUCCAUUACAUGGUCAUUAAAUUGUCGUUAAGCCUUCUAUUACAUUAUGGCCUAAAAGGUUGUUAAAUAGUAAAAAAGAUGGAUGGGUAAAGUCUAAGUUCAUGCUUGGGCUAAGUUUAUAUUGGUAUUUAUACCCAGGGUUAACGAGUAUGGGUGAAGGUGGAACAUUCUAAUACCCGUUUACCCAUUGGGUGAAGGAUUUUGCCCAAUAACAGACUCAUGGGUAGAAUAUUUAGCCCACAUACAUACCCUAAUGGAGUAAAUACCCAUCGAGUAUCGGGUCACAGGUACCCGUUGCCAUCUCUAUUCUUCCUCGCUAGCAAAGAGAAACCAGAGGAGGUGACGGAGGGAAACGUGAACGGCGCAUCGAGUGCACCACACAUGGCACGAGAUGCGCGGGGUGGAAUCUGGCGCCUGACGUGGCCAAGAAAUCGGAGGUAGAGAGGUGAGCGGAGAAAUCUGUUGAGAACUACGUUACCACGGAUCGCCAGAUCCGCACCCUUCCCUCCCGUCAGCAGAUUAGGCGCGAGAAGUUGUAGAGAACCCAUCUCCCUUCCCAGAAGCACGACAGAGGAAACACACGAGACACAGGAUAUAGGGUUGGGCCUCUGGCCUCUUUCUGAUCUCUAUCUUAUGAGGGGGUGUACAAGUUCCUUAUAUAGAUAUGUGAGACCCCUUAGGGGCAAAUUAGGUAUUUGCCCACAUAACCCUAACUAGGGUUACUUAACACUCCCCCUUGGGUGAAUACCACGACCAACACAUGCCUCGUUAAAACUCCGAAAAACCCAGUGGGAAAAUAUGGAGAAAGAGUGCAUGGUGAUACAAAUUGCAUUUGCACUUUGUUGCCUCAUUAAAAACCUUAUGUGAGAAACUUCAGAAAAACUCACCAAGGAAAAAAGAGUACAACAAAUGUCAUCAGGACACAUUUCGAUCUUCUGGAUCAGGAUUCCAUCAAAUCUUCUACAAGGGCUAAAUUUAGAAAUGUGCUCCCCCUGAUCCUUGCAAAACCGUAUCAAUAUGGCACACCAUCUUCUUUUGGAAGUAUACGCACAUAGAGAUUUAGCAAAUGGAUUGCAUACUGUUGCAAGGAUUAUAACAGGAACUUCACCCCAACUCACUUCUAGGAUAUACGAGGUAAGUGCACAUAUCAACAUAAAUAAGCCACUUUGACUAAUGGUGUUCGAUUGACUGGAUCUUUAUACUUGAUAGAAAGUUCCAUAAAGGUUCACAUAUUGAUCAUCAAGCUCACGCCUUCGGGGCAUAGAAUAUGACAUUUAUUGUCUCACGGUUGUGAUCAAUAUAAGCAUUCGCUCCCCCUGACGAUGACAUCUGUCAAAGUCAUUAUCCCUCAUAACUCAAGCAUAUUCUUCAAUACAUAUGUCUCAUUGUUCAUCUAGAAUAACGAGAAUGGUUGAGGUUGGGGUGCUAUCAUUUUCUAUCUUACACCAUAAUUUAUACAUACUUGUGCAAAGCAAAUAACAUGUCCUUCAAUAGGACUUAGGGGAUAAUAUAGUUGCAAUAGUACAUAUUCUAAAUAUGACACAUCACUCAAGGCGUUCAUCCAUUGCAACAUCUAUGAUGGUGUAACAAAAGUCCAUCUAAGAUCGUAAUCCAUCAGGGAUUUUUCAUCGAUCAGAUACAUCGUUAUAGUCUGUCAUUCUGGCACAAUGGGGAUAUUUUGCCAGUAACACCUAAACCUUAUAGGUUUCUACCAUCAGGGCUUUAGAGGAUACCGUAAUUCCACAUCUAGUGGAAAUUACCAUAAGUAAAACUCAUGGAAUGCACAUGUGCUUAUUUGGUGAACUUCAAGUCCUUUGGUACCUCAUCUUAUUCCUUUUCAGGUCUGUAUGGGUCUUUAUCCCUUUAUAGGGAUUAUCAAACUUUGGUGUUUAACACAAACUUUAUUUCUUCUGGAAAGGUUCCAUUAAGGAACUAUAAUCUCAUCUAGGAGAUAUUCUCUCUACAUAGGAGAGUGUUCAUUCGUCAGGAAUGUAUUAUUCAGUAUGAGAUUUAUAUGUUGCAUAUUUAUAAUUCAAAGAUAUGGGUCCUCCUAGGAUCUCAUGACGGAUCUUCAGAAUCCUAUAAACUACAUAUUUUAAUUUAUGCCAUUUGCCAGAUAUAUUACAUAGCGGAAUAGUGUUUAUUCAACACAUAUGUGGGAUGGGUCUCUUACAAGACCACUUGAACCAUCGCAUUCACCACACAUUAUUUCAAUAGUGCCCAUAAAUGCCCAAACUUCAAGCUCGUGACUUUCAUUUUGCGAUUAUUGGUUCAACCUCGAUUGCAUUUAUCAAUGACCCGAUAAGAGAGCUUAAAGCACUCAUGCCUAGGACUUUGUUUUGGAUCCAUUUGCAAUCUAGAGUGGCAAGAUAGGUGUCGACAUAUUUGUCUCCCAUAUUUAAUAAUGAUCUCCGUCAUUUCCCAAAACAAAAGAUUUCAUUGUUCUAUAUUCCCAGCACAAUGAUAUUGCGCGCAUUGCUAGGAAUUUCAUCAUCAAGAUGAACCUCUUCGUGAGGCAAAUCACCAUCAGGGUGAAUUAAUCGGAGGAGAGUUAUCAUAGACCACGUGAAUCUGUAAUCAUAACAUAUGCUUUGACUAAGGCUGAUGGAUCAUAUUCGCAGGCGUCCCCGAGAAUAGAUCACAUACCAAUAAGUCAAAUGUGGAUAUGAUAUUAAUCUCGGGUAUAUCCACAUCUACAUCAGGUAGAAGCAUUUAGACCAAUAUGGUUACUCCUCAACGAUUUCUGGCAAACUCCAUAUACACAGGAGUACACACCGAACGACAUAUUCAGUUUGGAUUUUAUGCGUUUAAUAGAAUAUUUAGGCAUUACACUAUAUGGGCAUUCCUCCCCCUAAUGCCGAGAUGUUCUUAAAAGCCUAUAGAUAAAAUCCCCAACCACAAUUAUCCAGUUGUGGCCAAUGUAUGCUAUUGCUUGUGGUGAUUUAUUUGGGAAAUCUUACGCACAUUAUAGAUAGGGGUUUUAUGCAGUGAGCUUUGGACUUAGAUUAAUGUAGUGGCAUGAAUACUACAUAUUUGUCCUUCAUCGUGAAGGAUUAGUCUCAACUUCUAGCAAGACACGCAACAACAAGUUGCUUCAUGGUUACAAUUCUGCAAACUUAUUGUUUUAUUACCAAAUACACAGUCAAUCAUUAAGAUUUAGACUGAUAUGCGCAACACUAUGUUAUCCAGAAGGGUCCUUCAGGGGCUCAUGCAUACCAUUCAUCGUUUGGAGCUAGUAGUUAACUUUAGAUCAACAAGUAAAAUGAUCAUUAGGGUCUAGCGCUCACAAGGACAUUCAUUGGUUACAUUGUGCUUUCAAGCACAUAGGAGAAUAUGUGCAUAUAUAAUGGUGGUAAAGUGCACGGCAUCAGGCCAAUGCUGCCAGGUAGAGAUUUUUAUAUGCAGAGAUGUAUAGUCCAGCUCGUUUUAUUAUUGCCCAUGGUUUACCCAAUUACUCAUACCGAUAUGAAAUUGGGUAUCAAUUUAUGUAACAUUUUUAGGUAUUAUACUUUUGAGAGAGAACUAAUAACAAUAGUUAAUUAUUUGUGAUGCUGCCAGCAGGGCAAACAUUUCUCCUCAUAUUAUAUACCAAUUUGUUCUAUAAAGCAUUAUUUCGAUCUCUUUGUUGUUCGGCAAAAAGAGAAGCUUUGGAAUAGAACAGACAAGGCCAAAAAUUCAUUUUAUCUGGGAAAAUUACAAUAUAACUAGCUUUUGAUGAAGAAAAUGAUGAUAACUACUUGGCAAGAAUGAAAUAGGACUGGUGUCCGCCUAGGAUCCGUCUUCAACAACAGAUAAUACUGGUCUCAUACGAAGGAGUCAUCAUGACUAGGGAGAAUGCAACAGGUCUCCAUAAGAUCUUUAUAUUUUUAUCACAAAUUAUCACCACUUUCAAUCUCGUGGUCAAGACUUAUGGCUCUUCUGGUGCCAAGGACCAAGGACAUAUUAAUGCCUAAUUUAGCUUCAAGCUUUGUGUUGACGUGGGAUUUCAUGGCUAUUUUUCUACUCUUCUUACUUCUGGUAGAUCAUAUAUAGAUUAUGGUAAGCAUGUCAAGGGGUGAAAUUCAAUGUAGUUCUGCUACAUAAACCUCAAUUUUAUUUCCAUUCAGUAUUGACCUUUACCAUUUGGCUUACUGUAUACCAUACCAGUCAAAGGACUAUCCCAAGUCAAUUCAACGACUAUAAGUAUUUACUAUUUUGAGAGAUGUAUGCAACACAAGCAUAGAGGUCCUAGAUAGGACGAGUAAAGUGGUUUGAUAGAAACACACAAUGGUUUUUCACACAAAUAUUGUGAAAAAAUUCUCAGAAUUACCUUUCAAUGUACUUGCAACUUCGUGUUGCUAAGGUACUAGCCAUUUAUCUCAAAGUUUGCUUCAUGUUGUUCAGUGACAAAUAGCAAUGUGCCAACAUCUGGUUGAGCAAUGUAUGACUGAGAUUCUAACAUUUAUUCAUCUGAUAAGGUCUUAUUGCUUACUAAUAAAAUCCCAAUUUGUGAUGUUUUCUAUGCCAAAAAGGCUUUCAUGCAUUAAUAUUGAAUUUCUUCAGGUUACUUCGGGUAAAACUUUAUGCACGAGGAGAGAGCAAAGAUUUAACUUAUCUGUGUUUUAUUGUAUUUCGAUUUAAUUUCCCAGAUUUAAUAUAGUUGUUAUGGCCACUUGGCAAUAUAUAUAAAUAUACGAUGCCACACAACACAAUCAAACAAAAUAUAGAGCGAAAACAAAAUUGUUUACGAAGGUUACACAUAAUGUGACUUCAGGACCUUGAACAACCCACCACAAUCCACGCGAGUACAAGCUCUAGUGUAUCUGGCAUCAACGCGUGUACGGCCAUCAGGGCUACGAUAGUAUAGCAAGCCUUCGUAAUAAGCGCAAUAUGCACAAUUAUGGCUCGGUAAUUGGGGUACACGAUAAAUCCACGCAACGUGCGCAACAGGCGCAAUUGUGGCUCGCGGCAGACAGACAGUGCCUACAGGGCAUGCAAAAAAUACGCGACUCAGCGAUGGCGGUCUGACUCAACGGGAGUGGUCCGAUUAAGCGAGAGUGUGACAUAGCAAUCAAAUGACGCAGCCAAGUUCGUACGACAUAAAUACUGCAUCGUGUUGUCAGGGCGCAGCCAGUGCUCAGCCAAUGCCAUAACUCGGUCGAUUACCAACGCAGCCUGAUCGGCGUGUCCGAGUACCCACUAUACAAUUUAAUCACUCGAUGUGAGUCCAAAAGCUCAACAUAAUAUAAAUAUUUAGAGCGAUUUAAGUAUGCACAAUAAAGCCUUCAUAUGUAUUUUAAUUUUCUGCUAAGUAUCUUCUAUAGGAAAUAAAAGCAGAAAACAAACAUAAUAAAUAAUUAAUGCAUAAACAUAACACAUCAUGUGUAAAAGGCAAUUUUUCAUAUUUAAGCAUGCAUAUUUCUACUAAUUAUUUACUCCAGAAAAUAAUUGAUUAAGGUAGAAAUGACAACGUAAAACAUGCUUUAUUUUAUUUUGUCAAGCAAAUCAAGGAGUUGCUUAGAUUAUUUUCAUAUAACUGUGGGAUGAGUAAUUUAGACGAGGGGCUACUCCAUGUUGGUGUACAGGUGAAAACGGCCAUUGGCUGCAACUGCCGCGUGCGGCCCCUAGAAAGCGUGUAGCCUUAUUGUUUAUCCAACCGAAAGGAGUAGAGGAAAGGAAAUGGUCCACAGCAUAUGAUUUGCUCUUGUCUGCACACUGCACUGUGAUAUGCGAACUCCUCUCUCUCCUUUCUUUUCUCAGCCGCUCGUCACGCCUGGUCAAAGAAGCACUGCAUGCACGCAUUUUUUUAGCCGGAUGACCCGCUCGUGGGAGCGCCUGCAUGCGUGGGGAUGAGGGCCCCACCACCACAUUUUUUUUGACUCACUCAUGCACCUGCUGCACUCUCUCUCUCUCGGUUGAACGGUUCAGAGGAGCGACCAGACCGCAUCCAUUUAGGCUAGGCCGGUUUCUUGCCUUAUCUUUGACCAUGCACGCAAGAUUUCUCCCACUACGGAGACUUCGGAUCAACACUGCACAGGGCUGCGUAGCUCAACCUCACCUCUACGUUGCCGAUGCGUCGAGUAGGGGUUGCGCCAGCCUUGGGUCGAGCGGAGAAGCUCCAGGACGCGACACGGGAUGCAUGGAGCCGCCAACAGAGCGGCUCGCAUGGGCGGAUGACCAAUGUGCCUUUUUUUCUUAGUCGCCAACUAAAUCGCAAAUCCAAUAUGAAAAUUACAAACCAUGUUUCUUGAUUCGAUGGCAUUUUUUCAAUAUUUUCCAAUAUUUUAGUGCACAUUUAUAAUGCGAGCAUGGCUGCUGGCGCGCAAUGCGGUCCCGACGCGCGGGCGCAAAACCACUACGUCAAUGGCAAAUUGUCACGCACGAAUCACAAUCCGUACACAACAACGGAUCAACCAAUAAAAAUACCGCUCGUGCGUAGAGGGAGAAUCGAAGGCUGUCACGUAGGAUAGUUCGGCUAGGCCGAGAGACCUGUCGGCUUGACGAAGAGUUGAUGUAGAUCUGAUCCCGCAGCAACGACAAGGUAGAGGGUGCUGAUAACGUGUUGAGAACUACGUUACCACGGAUCACCAGAUCUGCACCCUUCCCUCCCGUCAGCAGAUUAGGCGCGAGAAGCUAUAGAGAACCCAUCUCCCUUCUCAAAAGCAUGACAGAGGAAACACACGAGACACAUGAUAUAGGGUUGGGCCUCUGGCCUCUUUCCGGUCUCUAUCUUAUGAGGGUGUGUACAGGUUCCUUAUAUAGAGAUGUGAGACCUCUUAGGGGCAAAUUAGGUAUUUGCCCACAUAACCCUAACUAGGGUUACUUAACAAAAUCAAUGCCUAGAGCGGCGUCGGGCCAAGAGAAAAGAGUGAAGUUGUUAGGGUUUUUGACCGGAGCCCUUAUUUUCUGAUAUUUAAAUCCGUCCACAGUAGACCAUCAAAUUUCGGUCGUUGAUUUUGAUCCAACGGAUCACAGGCAAGAUGAAGGGGAGAGUUUGUGGCAUGGCUUUGUGGGCCCAGCCACUCAAGCACUUCCACCAAACCGGUAAGAAGGCCUCACAGUACCGGGCCCAAAGGAUGACAGAGGCCAAGCAGCCCAACUUUGUUUUUAUUUACAGUGAAUUCAGAAAUACUACCUUUUCUUUUUUUCCUUGCAGAAUUAAGUGGAUAAAGGAAAAGGUCAAGAAAUAUAAAAUACAAAUAGAGAAUUAUUUUUCCAUAGAUAUAGAAUUUUAGCAGAGAUAUUUUGGACUAUUUUAUUUCUACUGCGUACUUCAGAUUAUUUUUCUGUGUAUUAUUAUUUAUUACAAAGUCAACAUGGAUCAAUUUACGAUUAAUUGUAAAGAAAUUUAGAAUUUUUUUGUAUUUUAAAUUUUAACAAACGUUAAACAUUUUAUACCAUAUUUACAAUAGAAUUAUACAUUUUCUAGAUCAUCCAACGAUGGUUUAGAAUUUUAGAAUCAGAUUCUUUUUAUGCACUAAUGUUGAUUAUGAAGCCAACAUGGAUUAAUUCUCAUUAAGUGCAUAGAAAUUCAGAAAUUUUUGUGGUGAUUAAAUAUUUUUUACCAACGUUGAAUAUUGUUACCCCAUUUUUGUACAAGAGUUAAGUAUUCUAGAUCAUCCAACAAUGGUUUAGAAUUUUAGAGCAAGAAACCUUGUUUAUGAGGCAUGGUUAUUAUUUGACAACGUCGAAUAUUGAAUUCAUGCAAGUUCUAUGUUUCAGUAUUUAUUUCAGUUGUCCUAUAUAUUUUUUGUUUUACUUUGCAAAAGUGUACACACAGGCCUACUAGUUGGUUAGAUAGGACAAAUUAAACCGCUAGAUGGUACUAAUUACCACUUCUGACAGAAAAAAUCAGAUGAUAACUAUAGUGUGUGAGAUAGAUUACUCACUGUGGUUUGAGAAAUCCAUUGAGCCUACAGUGGGCUUACCUCAGUAUGACCUUAAGGUGCUGCAGUACAAAAUCGACAAGGUCAAGUGAAAAAGAUCCAAAUGUGAAGUGCUUGAUCAUAAUAAGAGUCUCAUCAAGGACCCUAUUAAGGGUGCUAUUUGAGAGUAUUAGACAUUUCAUGUUCAGUGUAACAUCAGUGUAAAGUACAAGUGCAAUCUAGACCAACUUAGGACACAAUGUGUCCCAAAGUAGAAUAAGACCUAAAUAAAAAAAUUCAAGAAACAAGCAAAGCAGAAUAACCAAGCUUCGACUAGCAACACCCUAGCAAUUUUUUAGAACCUGUGACACUUGUCUCUACUGCAAGAAGACAGGGCAUUACAAUAAAAAGUCCCCAUAAUUCCUGCAGUACCUUUUAGAGAAUGGGAUUCCGUUCAAUCCAAAGGCUCCCAAAAGGACGAAAAACAAUAAUAGUGGCUAAGGGAAAGGAAACAGUCACUUAACUUCAGUUUUGAGAUUAGAUGAUCAGGACAUCCAUAUUCACUUCGGUGAUAGACAAUCACAGACAAUGUGUAUUAUUCAGUUUGAUAAUAAAGAUGUUUGGUCUCGCCAUCCAACGAGACAUGCUUUAUUUACUUUCACACAAUGAUAAUGUUAAUGUCUUAGAUAUACUAGAAAACGAUUCGACCAACAGUGGCUAGAAAAGAAAAGUAGGUGAUGGAGAUACCUCAUUGAAAGUAUGGCACUAUCGUUUAGGGCAUAUUUCGAGGGGGGAAUAGAGUGUUUAGUUAAAUAGAAAUUCUCCAUCCCUUAUACUUUGCAAACUUAAAGAAAUGCAUAGAUUGCAUUAAGGAUAAAUUUGUGAAGCAGAUUAAGAAAAAUGCUAAGCACAGUACGAGAGAGUGUGUUACAGAUUAUUCAGAUAGAUACUUGUGGUCCUUUUUCAGUUAGGAUAGCAGAUGUGUUCGAUUCGUUCAUAGCCUUCACAUAUGACUAUUUUCGCAACAGUGACAUUUCUCCUAUUAAGGAGAGAUCAUAAGCUUUAGACAAGUUUAAACAGUUCAAGGCUAAGGUAGAAAAUCAACACGAUCUGAAGAUAAAAAAAAGUUAGAUCAGAUCGUGGGGGAGUAUUACGGGUGAGAUACAAAGUAUGGACAAGUCCUAAGGCCUUUUGCGAGGUUCCUAAAAGAAAAUGGCAUAGUUGCUCAUUAUUCGACACCUGGUGAACCCCAACAGAAUGGAGAGAGAGAUCCAAAGCCUCUUUAUAGGGGUACCUCCAUAGCCUUUUAUAGCCAACUGUGGAGAUAUCUCUUUACCGAUCGUAAAAAUUAUCUGAACCUAUCUACUUUCGCUAUUUUUGCGCGCCGACUUUUCUGGUGGUUGCUUCCCUUUAAGUUUGGUGCCAAACGAUAUGCUAUUUGGUCGAAUUGUGGGGCCCGUUACUUGGAAAUCUAUUGGCUCCUUUGUGGUAUAUGUGCACGAAUAAUGCUGCACUCUUCGGAAUCCUUUUGGCCGAGUGUGUCAUCCUCCUAGUAGCACCUGCUUCUCCUAAAGGUCAGCCCAAUAGCACAUCUUGGAGACAACUUAUCGAGGGUCUAUUUAAGCGGCCCAUGGAACUUGUCCAUGUGAUGAUGAUCCAUGGUAUAUCUAUCUCCCACAACUCCAACUUACCAUUGGUUCUAUGGAUGGAGGCUUUAAAAAACCGCUAUCCAUAUACUCAACAAAGUCCCUAGUAAAUCAGUAUCCAAAACUCCAUAUGAGUUGUGGACUGAAAGAAAGCCCACGAUCAACAACUUCUACAUAUGGGGUUGUCUAGCAGAAGCAAGAAUAAUUAAUCCUGGACAAGGAAUGCUAGAUGAGAGAACCACUAGUUGCCAUUUUAUUGGCUACCCUGAGAGAUCAAAGGGAUUUAGAUUCUACUGUCCAUGCAGACAAACUAAGUUCAUAGAAACCACACAUGCCAUUUUCCGAGAGGAUGACAUGAUCAAGGGAAGUAAUGCACUCAGAGAGGUUGACCUUCAGGAAAAUAGGAUGUAUGUCCUGAUUUUGAUGGUUGAAGAAUCAUACUUCUCGAUACUCGUUGAGGUCCCACCAAAGGUUGUACCGACUGGAAGUGAAACCCCUUCUACAAAAGUUGCAUCACCAGUGCAACUACUACAGAGCAAGAUGCUUCACCUUCUAUGUAGCCUGAUCCUUCUGAGACAGUUGCACAUGAGAGUUCAGAAGACAGUGGUAGUGUUGUACCAAGUGACGCACCAUUGUAGGAGCCCGAGAGCAAACUAGAACCAAGUCUAAGAAGGUCUCAAAGGUCUAGACGAUCUGCGAUACCUAGUGACUAUGAAGAUUACACAAGUGUAGACACGUAAAGUAAUGAGAUAUAUAUUAGUGAGGACAUUGAUGUAGAAGGUGAUCCCACUACACAUGAAGAAGCUAUGAGAAGUGAAAAAAUCAUCCAAAUGGAUUUCAGCCAUGGAAGAUGAAUCAGAAUCCAUGAGAAUGAACAAAGUUUGGGACUUAGAGAUCAUUCCCCAAGGAGCCAAAACAGUAGGUUGUAAGUGGGUCUACAAGACCAACCGUGACUCCAAAGGAAAUGUAGAAAGAUACAAGGCUAGACUUGUGGCCAAAGGGUUCAAUUAGAGAGAAGGUAUUGACUACCAUGAAACCUUCUCACCUGUCUCAAUGAAAGAUUCAUUCCAGACCAUUAUGGCAUUACUGGCCCAUUUUGAUCUAGAACUCCAUCAGAUGGAUGUAACGAUAGCAUUCCUAAAUGGAGAGUUAGUAGAAAACGUGUUCAUGGCACAACCAAAGGGUUUUGUUGUGCACGAAAUAGAAUAUACGGGAUGUCACUUAAGGAGGUCCAUUCAUGAAUUAAGGCAAGCCUCUAGACAGUGGUACCUCAAGUUUAACCAGACUAUCAAAAAAUUGGUUGUGAGGAAAACAAGAAAGACAAUUGCAUUUAUGCAAAAUUUAAGAAAGGAAAGUAUAUCUUUCUUGUUCUAUAUGUCGAUGACAUACUUUUGGCUAGUAGCGAUAAGGAUAUAUUGGCAGAAAUAAAGAGGUUUCUUUCCUUGAACUGUGAUAUGAAAGACAUGGGAGAAGCCUCUUAUGUUCUAGGAAUAGAAAUUCACAAAGAUAGAUGUAAGGGAGUAUUAGGACUCUCACAGAAGACAUACAUAGAAAAUGUACUAAAGAGGUACAGUAUGCAUCAAAGUAAGGCCUCGCCCUGCGCCAAUAGUCAAGGGUGAUAAGUUUGGGGAUUAUCAGUGCCCCCAAAAUCAGUGUCAGAAAGAUCAGAUAAAGUCAAAACCAAAUGCUUCUACUAUUGGAAGCAUUAUGUAUGCUCAAAUAUGUACUCGUCCUGACUUAGCAUUCACUACAGGGAUGUUUGGGAGAUAUCAAAUCAACCCAGGCAUAGAACACUAGAAAUCGAUUAAGAAGGCUCUAAGGUACUUACAAGGUACUAAAGGUCUCAUGCUAAUAUAUAGAAGAUCUAGUUCCCUAUAAAUAGUUGGCUAUGCAGAUGCUAACUGAGGAAUUUGUAGAGAAACACUGAAGCCUACUUCAAGAUAUGUAUUUACACUCUCUAGGGGAGCUAUUUCUUGGAAGAGUAGCAAACAGACAACGAAAGCAUCGUCGACAAUACAAAGUGAAUUUGUAAGCUACGUAUGAGGCAAAUGGGUAGGCGAUAUGGAUGAAGAAAUACAUACCAAAAAUAAGAGUGGUUGAUAGCACAAAAAGACACUAAGAAUUUUCUGGGAUAAUGAGCCAGCAAUAUUCUAGUCAUAUAACAACAAGUCAAGUGGCACUGCCAAGUUUAUUGACAAUUAGUGUUGUGUUGUUAAGGGGAAGAUUCAGGAUCCGACCAUAAAAGUUAAGCAUACAGAACAUAGCAGAUGCUAGUGGAUCUGCUCACAAAAGGCCUUCCACCCAACGUGUUAAGACAGCACGUAGCCGGAAUGGGUUUAAGGAAGAGCCUAUGAUCUUGAAUCAUAGGGGAUAUAGAUUGCAACCUAGUAAAGUAUUUUUUUUGUUCUAAAGCAGGGGAGCAUAUUGUAGUUAAUGAGUGCGGUGAUACUUAAUCGGUCAUUGUCACACAUUGGUCUCUGUGUGUAAACUUGUCGAAGUAUGGAAUCCAGAAAAGUUGAGUAUAAGGAAUGUAGAGAACAAAGGGGAGAUUGUUGGGUGUGUCCUCGACAGCCGAUCAACAGAGAUCGAAUUGGGCCUAACCCAACUAACCACCUCCUUAAUCUGAGUCCUUGAUUGGGAGGGCCCAUCUAACCACAGUUGUAGCCCCCAAUCACACGAUGCCAUAUCAAAGGAUUAAGAGGGCCACAGGAAUAAGCUAACGCUUAAUCUUGCCCCGAAACUCUAAUCCAUAGAGAAGGCCCCCAUCGCCUAGGUGGCACAAUGACUGGAAGAGCUACACCCUAACAGUGGCUCGGAUCUCGACGCCCUAGAAGGACCUGGAUCUGAACCUCGUCUUCUGUAGGAGGAUGGAGGCGGCGCGGGAGCGCCACUAGACACGGUCAACUUACCAACCUCACCCUUAAUCAAGGGCAAACAUGCAACCCUCAAACUGUUUGUGUUUAUGAUUCAUAGAUCAAGAUGAAUACACAAGCUCUUUACUAUUAUCAAGUUCUCUCGAAUUAUCCUAAGUGUGACUCAGUAAAAAUCCUAAAACUUAACAGAUUGCACUCUCAAAUCAAUUAGGGUGCUUGUAUCCUCACAGAGGAUCCAUGAGCUUGGCCUUCUUUUCCUACUUCUACCAGGAUUAUAUAUGUUGAGCUCAAGGUACAUGUAAGGUUUUUUUAUUUAUAUAUGAGAUAAAUGUGUCCAUUAAAUUAUACGAGGCUUCGGUCAGGUCCAUCAACUCUAAAAGUUAAUUGUUGUAUCCAUAAACUUUUUAAGUAUUUCACUGUAGAUCCAUACUUUAUUUGUUUGGUCCUUGGAUUAAACUUCCAUGUUCAUAAUAGUUUUAAAUGGUCCAUAAUAGGUCCAUACCCUUUUUUGGCCUAGAUCUGACAUGAAAAAUGGAGUCAACAACCUGCAUAACAUGAAAUUUGUCGAGCUCAUGCUUAUGCCUCUACCACGCUGCUCUCCUUUCCACUCCCUCGAGCGUGGCAUCUGCCUUCCAGCCUAUGGCCCCUAUACUCUAUCUCACCUCUAGUGCUCGCCAACACCAUUAUCGAACACAAAAUUCCUACUAUCAAAGUUGUUCCUCACCUUGUGCUUCAUCUCUAUUCAAGAAAUGACCUCUACCCUUUACGCUUGUUGCACACACAAAUCAUGCCAGAGCUCAUUUCUAAUUGCAGCUACCAUAUGGUUGAGCUUUGAACUUGUGUGCUUUCACUAGUACAAACAACCUAUGUAGAGGUGGUUCGAAACCCCUUUCUAUAGGCGUUUUUCAUAACCGCCUAUGCUGGGGGCAUAGAAAUGGUCCCAGUGCACAUGUGGCUAAUUGAGAAUCGCUAGUGGAGAUCGAUUUCCACUGGCAGUCAAUAUAACAAAACUGCUAGUACAAAUAUUUUUUAGAAAACAUAAAAUGAGUUUUUAAAGUAGCAAGUGGUGGUAAUUUUCACGUAAAAUUCGUGUCUCCUCUUCACUAGUCUUCUCGGGCUCCAGAUCCUUGAUUAUUUUAUCAAUUGAUGCACUAACAACUGCUUCAACAUUUUUGCUUGUAUCUGGAUUCCUUCUCUUUUCUUUUGAAGUCUUAUAAACGACCCUCAUUAUUGUUUUGAUCUGACGGUUUCUCGUGAGAUAUCUUCGGCCUAUCCUUUUGCUGGUUCUUGACGAUCACGGAAGACGAAGCUUUAGUUGUUUCUUCUUUAGUGUUUUUGUCAUUCAUCGUUAACAAAAGACUAGUUAGGUCUGAUCCUAAGGGACUCGAUGUAGAAAAAGGUAAAGGUUGUGUCACUACCUUUAGUAUUUCUAUGGCCCCAAGUGGCGAAGCUAGUAGGCUCUCGAUAUUUUUCUUCGCCACCUCUAAAGAUUUCUCGCCAGCACGAGCAGUUUUUCCAUUCUUCGCUUUUUUAAGGAGGGGAUUUUUCCCGUAUGGGAAGACUCCUUCGUCGGCUUUUUUGGUCUUUGGUUUUUUAGACAAAUUUUUCUUUCUUUCCUCUAUGGAUCUUAUAGCCUCUCUUUUCAUAACACUAACAGUUCUCUUCCUCUUCACACCAGCACCAACCUCUUUGUGAGAUCUUCGGUUAGUCAGGGUACUCAAACUAUAAAGCAUCCAUGACCCUAUUUAAUCUUCGUUUCCCCCGACUGUCAAAGGUUGCGGCCAUCAGUUGGUCUUCAUUCUUCAUAAAAUUGUCAAGAAUCUCAUUGCAUUACUUUGAUCAUUUCCAACCAAUCUGCGCAUGGGCGCUUGAAUACAGACUGCUGCUUAAAUCGAUAUAGUAGCCUCACAAGCCCCCCUAGCAUUUCCUCUUAUUGUCUUUUCAACGUUUGGCAUUCCCCAACCAGACAAUGUCAGGAACACUUGGUUGGUAAGGAAUUUUUACACCAAGUCGCGAGUGCCGAUGUGUUCUUCCACUGUACUAAAAGCAACCUCGGGUACU